rnacentral:rRNA from 1 species
ACGAACGCUGGCGGCGUGCUUAACACAUGCAAGUCGAACGGUAAGGCCCUGCUUUUGUGGGGUGCUCGAGUGGCGAACGGGUGAGUAACACGUGAGUAACCUGCCCUUGACUUUGGGAUAACUUCAGGAAACUGGGGCUAAUACCGGAUAGGAGCUCCUGCUGCAUGGUGGGGGUUGGAAAGUUUCGGCGGUUGGGGAUGGACUCGCGGCUUAUCAGCUUGUUGGUGGGGUAGUGGCUUACCAAGGCUUUGACGGGUAGCCGGCCUGAGAGGGUGACCGGCCACAUUGGGACUGAGAUACGGCCCAGACUCCUACGGGAGGCAGCAGUGGGGAAUAUUGCACAAUGGGCGGAAGCCUGAUGCAGCAACGCCGCGUGCGGGAUGACGGCCUUCGGGUUGUAAACCGCUUUCGCCUGUGACGAAGCGUGAGUGACGGUAAUGGGUAAAGAAGCACCGGCUAACUACGUG